GAUGAACGCUGGCGGCGUGCCUAAUACAUGCAAGUCGAGCGAACGGACGAGAAGCUUGCUUCUCUGAUGUUAGCGGCGGACGGGUGAGUAACACGUGGAUAACCUACCUAUAAGACUGGGAUAACUUCGGGAAACCGGAGCUAAUACCGGAUAAUAUUUUGAACCGCAUGGUUCAAAAGUGAAAGACGGUCUUGCUGUCACUUAUAGAUGGAUCCGCGCUGCAUUAGCUAGUUGGUAAGGUAACGGCUUACCAAGGCAACGAUGCAUAGCCGACCUGAGAGGGUGAUCGGCCACACUGGAACUGAGACACGGUCCAGACUCCUACGGGAGGCAGCAGUAGGGAAUCUUCCGCAAUGGGCGAAAGCCUGACGGAGCAACGCCGCGUGAGUGAUGAAGGUCUUCGGAUCGUAAAACUCUGUUAUUAGGGAAGAACAUAUGUGUAAGUAACUGUGCACAUCUUGACGGUACCUAAUCAGAAAGCCACGGCUAACUACGUGCCAGCAGCCGCGGUAAUACGUAGGUGGCAAGCGUUAUCCGGAAUUAUUGGGCGUAAAGCGCGCGUACGCGGUUUUUUAAGUCUGAUGUGAAAGCCCACGGCUCAACCGUGGAGGGUCAUUGGAAACUGGAAAACUUGAGUGCAGAAGAGGAAAGUGGAAUUCCAUGUGUAGCGGUGAAAUGCGCAGAGAUAUGGAGGAACACCAGUGGCGAAGGCGACUUUCUGGUCUGUAACUGACGCUGAAGUGCGAAAGCGUGGGGAUCAAACAGGAUUAGAUACCUUGGUAGUCCACGCCGUAAACGAUGAGUGCUAAGUGUUAGGGGGUUUCCGCCCCUUAGUGCUGCAGCUAACGCAUUAAGCACUCCGCCUGGGGAGUACGACCGCAAGGUUGAAACUCAAAGGAAUUGACGGGGACCCGCACAAGCGGUGGAGCAUGUGGUUUAAUUAGAAGCAACGCGAAGAACCUUACCAAAUCUUGACAUCCUUUGACAACUCUAGAGAUAGAGCCUUCCCCUUCGGGGGACAAAGUGACAGGUGGUGCAUGGUUGUCGUCAGCUCGUGUCGUGAGAUGUUGGGUUAAGUCCCGCAACGAGCGCAACCCUUAAGCUUAGUUGCCAUCAUUAAGUUGGGCACUGUAAGUUGACUGCCGGUGACAAACCGGAGGAAGGUGGGGAUGACGUCAAAUCAUCAUGCCCCUUAUGAUUUGGGCUACACACGUGCUACAAUGGACAAUACAAAGGGCAGCGAAACCGCGAGGUCAAGCAAAUCCCAUAAAGUUGUUCUCAGUUCGGAUUGUAGUCUGCAACUCGACUACACGAAGCUGGAAUCGCUAGUAAUCGUAGAUCAGCAUGCUACGGUGAAUACGUUCCCGGGUC
rnacentral:rRNA from 1 species